rnacentral:lncRNA from 1 species
AAGUACUGAUACAGUGACUUCCUUUCAAUUUGUAUCCCUUUUAGAAACCUCCUUUCAUUGUCUAAUUGCUCUAACUAAAACUCAAGUACUAUAUUUAAUAAAUAGAAAGAGCAUGGGUAGCCUUUUAUAGUCCCUGAUUUUAGGUGGAUUGUUUACAGUUUCUCUCCAUUUAAUUUGAUGUUAGCUGUCUAUUUGUUGCAUAUUGCUUUUAUCAUGCUUAGGUAUCGGCCUUGAAUUUCUGAUCUUUCCAAGACUUUUAUCAUGAAGAGCUAUUGUAUUUUGGCAAAGGUCUUUUCAGCAUUUAAUGAGAUGACCAUGUAAUGUUUUGCUUUGAGUUUGUUUACAUAGUGUAUUACAUUGAUGGAUUUCUGAAUAUUUAACCAUCUCUGCAUCCCUGGGAUGAACCCUACUUGAUCAUGGUGAAUGAUCAUUUGAUGUGUUCUUGGACUCAAUAUGAGAGAAAUUUAUUGGAUAUUUUUGAAUCAAUAUUCAUAAGUGACAUUGGUCUGAUUUUCUCUUUUUUUGUUCAGUCUUUGUGUGGUUUAGGUAUCAGCAUAAUGGUGGCUUCAUAGAGAGAGUUAGGUAGUGGUCUUAUUAUUUCUAUUUUGUGGAAUAGUUUGAGAAGUAUUGGUAUUAGGACUUCUUUGAAGGUCUGAUAGAAAUCUAAUCCAAAACCAUCUUGCCCUGGGAUUUUUUUGGUUCUCAGACUUUUAAUGACUACUUCUAUUUCCUUAUGAGUUAUGGAAUGGUUUAUAUAGUUUAUCGGGUCCUAGUUGAACUUUAGUACCUAGUAUCAGUCUAUAAAAUUAUCCAUUUCAUCUAGAUUUUCCAGUUUUGUUGAGUAUAUAUGGCUUUUGUAGUAGGAUCUAGUGAAUUUUUUUUCAAUUGCUUCAGUUUCUGUUAUGUUUUCCUUUCAACUUCUGAUUUUGUUAAUUUGGAUACUAUUUCUGUGCCCUUUAAUUAGUUUGGCUAAGGAUUUAUCUAUUUUUUGGAUUUUUUUCGGAGAGCCAGCUCUUAGGUGUGUUGAUUCUUUGUUUAGUUCCCUUUGUUUUUGAUUGGUUGAUUUCAGCCCUGAGUUUUAUUAUUUACUUUUGUAUACUCCUCUUGGGUGUCUUUGCUUCUUCGGUUUGUUUGUUUUUGUUUUUUGUAUUUUUUUUCUUGAGCUUUCCGAUGUUCUGUUAAUUUGCUAGUAUAAGAUCUCUCCCAUGUCUUUAUGAAAGCACUCAUUGCAAUGAAUUUUCUUCUUAGCACUUCUUUCAUUGUGUCCUAUAAGUUUGGGUAUGCUGUGACUUCAUUUUCUUUAAAUUCUAGAAAGUCUUAAUAUCUUCAUUUCUUCCAUGAUCAAGUUAUCAUUGAGUAGACAGUGAGUUUCUAUGAGAUUUUGAGCUUUCUAUUGCUUUUGUUGUUAUUGAAGACAUGCCUUAUUCUAUGGUAACCUGAGAAUUCAUGGGAUUAUUUUAAUCAUCUUGUAUUUAUUGAGGUUUGUUUUGUGUCUAAUAAAAUGGUCAGUUUUGGAGAGUGUACAAUGAGAUGCUGAGAAGAUAUAUUCUCUUGUUUUGGGGAGAAAUAUUCUAUAGAUAUCUAUUAAAUCAAUUUGUCUCAUAACUUCUGUUAGUUUUAGCAUGUCUUUCUAAAUGUUUUGUUUCCAUGUUCUGUCCAUUGAUGUCAGUAGAAAGUUGAAGUCUCCCACUUUUAUUAUGUGAGGUCAAAAUGUGUUUUGAGCUUUAGUAAUGUUUCUUUUAUAAACGUGAGUGCCCUUGCAUUUGACGUGUAGAUAUUCUGAAUUGAGAGAUUAUCUUGGUAGAUUUUUCUUUUGAUGUGUAUGAAGCGUCCUUCCUCAUCUCUUUUGUUAAAUUUGCUUGACAGUAUAUUUUCUUGGAUAAUAGAAUAGCUACUCCAACUUGUUUCUUGGGAACAUUAGCUUGGAAAUUUUUUUUCCAGCCCUUUACUCUGAGAAGUCUGUCUUUGCCACUGAGGUAUAUUUGCUAUAUACAGCAAAACACUGGGUCCUAUUUACAUAUCCAGUCUGUUAGCAUAUGUCUUUUUUUGUUUGUUUGUUUGUUUUGGUUUUUUGGUUUUUUGAGACAGGGUUUCUCUGUGUAGUCCUGGCUGUCCUGGAACUCACUCUGUAGACCAUGCUGGCCUCGAACUCAGAAAUCUGCCUGCCUCUGCCUCCCAAGUGCUGGGUAGCAUAUGUCUUUUUAUUGGGAAAUUGAUCCAUUGAUAUUGAGAGAUAUUAAAGAACAAUGAUUUUUGGUUCCUGUUAUUUUUGCUGUUGAGGUGGUUUUAUAUUUUUGUGGUUCUCUUUGGGUUUCUUGUAAGACGAUUAAUUUCUUUGUCUUGAUUGUGUGUAGCUUCCCUUCUUGUGUUAGAGUUUUCUUUCUAUUAUCCUCUGUAGCGCUGGAUAAGUGGAAAGAUAUUGUUUAAAUUUGUUUUUUGUUGGGGAAUAUACUGUUUUCUCCAUCUAUGGUGAUUGAGAAAUUUGCUGGGUAUAGUAGCCUGGGCAGACAUUUGUGUUCGCAUAAGUCCUGUAUGACAUUUGUCCAAGAUCUUCUGACUUUUAUUGUGUCUGUUGAGAAGUCUGUUGUAAUUUUGAUAGGUUUGACUUUAUAUGUUACUUGACCUUUUUCUCUUACUGUUUUUAAUAUUCGUUCUUUGUUCUGUGUAUUUAAUGUUUUGAUUAUUUUGUGACAUGAAAAAUUUAUUUUCUGGUCAAAUCUAUUUGGUGUUCUGUAGGCUUCUUGUAUGUUCAUGGGCAUCUAUUUGUUUAGGUUAGGGAAAUUUUCUAUGAAUCGGUUGAAGAUGUUUUCUGGACCUUUGAACUGGGAAUCUCCACUCUCUUUUAUUUCUAUUAUUCUUAGGCUUGAUCCUUUCAUCGUGUACUGAAUUUCCUGGAUGUUUUGAGUUAACUUUUUGCACCUUGUAUUUUCUUUGAUUGUUGUGUCAAUAUCUUCUAUGGUAUCUUCAGUGCCUGAGAUUCUGUUGUUUAUCCCUCAUAUUCUGUUGGUGAUGCUUGCAUCUGUAUUUCCUGAUCUCUUUCCUGGUUUUCCAUCUCCAGGGUUGCCUUCAUUUGUAAUUUCUUUAUUGUUUCUCUUUCCAUUUUUAGAUCCUGAAUUAUGUGUCUAUAAACAGAAAUUCUAAGAACAAGCAUUUUAAUAGUAGUUCCAGGUAACUUUUCCU